GGCGGCGUGCCUAAUACAUGCAAGUCGAACGCUUCUUUUUCCACCGGAGCUUGCUCCACCGGAAAAAGAGGAGUGGCGAACGGGUGAGUAACACGUGGGUAACCUGCCCAUCAGAAGGGGAUAACACUUGGAAACAGGUGCUAAUACCGUAUAACAAUCAAAACCGCAUGGUUUUGAUUUGAAAGGCGCUUUCGGGUGUCGCUGACGGAUGGACCCGCGGUGCAUUAGCUAGUUGGUGAGGUAACGGCUCACCAAGGCCACGAUGCAUAGCCGACCUGAGAGGGUGAUCGGCCACAUUGGGACUGAGACACGGCCCAAACUCCUACGGGAGGCAGCAGUAGGGAAUCUUCGGCAAUGGACGAAAGUCUGACCGAGCAACGCCGCGUGAGUGAAGAAGGUUUUCGGAUCGUAAAACUCUGUUGUUAGAGAAGAACAAGGAUGAGAGUAACUGUUCAUCCCUUGACGGUAUCUAACCAGAAAGCCACGGCUAACUACGUGCCAGCAGCCGCGGUAAUACGUAGGUGGCAAGCGUUGUCCGGAUUUAUUGGGCGUAAAGCGAGCGCAGGCGGUUUCUUAAGUCUGAUGUGAAAGCCCCCGGCUCAACCGGGGAGGGUCAUUGGAAACUGGGAGACUUGAGUGCAGAAGAGGAGAGUGGAAUUCCAUGUGUAGCGGUGAAAUGCGUAGAUAUAUGGAGGAACACCAGUGGCGAAGGCGGCUCUCUGGUCUGUAA
rnacentral:rRNA from 1 species